rnacentral:rRNA from 1 species
AAUGAACGCUGGCGGCAUGCCUAACACAUGCAAGUCGAACGAAGGCUUCGGCCUUAGUGGCGCACGGGUGCGUAACGCGUGGGAAUCUGCCCUUGGGUUCGGAAUAACAGUUAGAAAUGACUGCUAAUACCGGAUGAUGUCGUAAGACCAAAGAUUUAUCGCCCAAGGAUGAGCCCGCGUAGGAUUAGCUAGUUGGUGGGGUAAAGGCCCACCAAGGCGACGAUCCUUAGCUGGUCUGAGAGGAUGAUCAGCCACACUGGGACUGGGACACGGCCCAGACUACUACGGGAGGCAGCAUUGGGGAAUAUUGGACAAUGGGCUAAAGCCUUAUCCAGCAAUGCCGCGUGAGUGAUGAAGGCCUUAGGGUGGUAAACAUCUUUUAACCGGGAUGAUAAUGACAGUACCGGGAGAAUAAGCUCCGGCUAACUUCGUGCCAGCAGCCGCCGUAA